UACGAAGGGUGCAAGCGUUACUCGGAAUUACUGGGCGUAAAGCGUGCGCAGGCGGUUCGCCAAGUCAGGUGUGAAAUCCCCGGGCUUAACCUGGGAAUUGCGCUUGAAACUAGCGGGCUUGAGUGUGGCAGAGGGGGGUGGAAUUCCACGUGUAGCAGUGAAAUGCGUAGAGAUGUGGAGGAACACCGAUGGCGAAGGCAGCCCCCUGGGUCAACACUGACGCUCAUGCACGAAAGCGUGGGGAGCAAGCAGG
rnacentral:rRNA from 1 species